rnacentral:rRNA from 1 species
AUACGUAGGGUGCGAGCGUUGUCCGGAAUUACUGGGCGAAAAGAGCUCGUAGGUGGUUUGUCGCGUCGUCUGUGAAAUUCCGGGGCUAAACUCCGGGCGUGCAGGCGAUACGGGCAUAACUUGAGUACUGUAGGGGAGACUGGAUUUCCUGGUGUAGCGGUGAAAUGCGCAGAUAUCAGGAGGAACACCGGUGGCGAAGGCGGGUCUCUGGGCAGUAACUGACGCUGAGGAGCGAAAGCAUGGGUAGCGAACAGGAUUAGAUACCCUGGUAGUCCAUGCCGUAAACGGUGGGCGCUAGGUGUAGGGGUCUUCCACGUCUUCUGUGCCGUAGCUAACGCAUUAAGCGCCCCGCCUGGGGAGUACGGCCGCAAGGCUAAAACUCAAAGGAAUUGACGGGG